CGUAACUAUAACGGUCCUAAGGUAGCGAAAUUCCUUGUCGGGUAAGUUCCGACCUGCACGAAUGGCGUAACGAUGGCCACACUGUCUCCUCCUGAGACUCAGCGAAGUUGAAAUGUUUGUGAUGAUGCAAUCUCCCCGCGGAAAGACGGAAAGACCCCAUGAACCUUUACUGUAGCUUUGUAUUGAAUUUUGAACAGAUCUGUGUAGGAUAGGUGGGAGGCUUUGAAGCAGGGUCGCUAGAUCUUGUGGAGCCAACGUUGAAAUACCACCCUGGUGUGUUUGAGGUUCUAACCUAGGUCCAUUAUCUGGAUCGGGGACAGUGCAUGGUAGGCAGUUUGACUGGGGCGGUCUCCUCCCAAAGUGUAACGGAGGAGUUCGAAGGUACGCUAGGUACGGUCGGACAUCGUGCUAAUAGUGCAAUGGCAUAAGCGUGCUUAACUGCGAGACUGACAAGUCGAGCAGAUGCGAAAGCAGGACAUAGUGAUCCGGUGGUUCUGUAUGGAAGGGCCAUCGCUCAACGGAUAAAAGGUACUCUGGGGAUAACAGGCUGAUACCGCCCAAGAGUUCAUAUCGACGGCGGUGUUUGGCACCUCGAUGUCGGCUCAUCUCAUCCUGGGGCUGUAGCCGGUCCCAAGGGUAUGGCUGUUCGCCAUUUAAAGAGGUACGUGAGCUGGGUUUAAAACGUCGUGAGACAGUUUGGUCCCUAUCUUCCGUGGGCGCUGCAGAUUUGAGGAAGCCUGCUCCUAGUACGAGAGGACCGGAGUGGACGCACCUCUGGUGUACCGGUUGUCACGCCAGUGGCAUUGCCGGGUAGCUAAGUGCGGAAGAGAUAACCGCUGAAAGCAUCUAAGCGGGAAACUCGUUCCAAGAUGAGAUCUGCCGGGGCCUUGAGCCCCCUAAAGAGUCGUUCAAGACCAGGACGUUGAUAGGUCAGGUGUGGAAGCGCAGUAAUGCGUUAAGCUAACUGAUACUAAUUGCUCGUGAGGCUUGACCCU
rnacentral:rRNA from 1 species